rnacentral:rRNA from 1 species
AUCUACGGCCAUACUACUCUGAACAAGCCUGAUCUCAUCUGAUCUCGGAAGCUAAGCAGGGUCGGGCCUGGUUAGCACUUUCAUUGGAGACUACCUAAGAAGACUAGGUGCUGUAGGUG